rnacentral:lncRNA from 1 species
CAAGAAAGACAUGAUCUCUGACCACCGAAGGAGAGGUGGCAGGAAAGAAGGCAGGAUCUCAGUGAUGUGUAUGUGAGGGUGGAAGGUAACAUUGGACUUCCACCCAGGAGGUGGCAUUCUGGUGGAAAGGAGAGGUGACCACCUUGUGACACCUGCUAUCUUUCCCCCAAGGAGUGGUAGACACUGGAUUAGAAUGGCGGCUAAAGGGAAACCUCAGAUAAUCAACUGCGAAUAUCCUUGUUAACUGAGUGUCUUAGGAUUCUACUGCUGUGAACAGAUACCAUGACCAAGACAACUCUUAUAAGGACAACAUUUAAGUGGGGCUGGCUUACAGGUUCAGAGGUUCAGUCCAUUAUCAUCAAGGUGAGAACAUGACAGCAUCCAGGCAGGCAUGGUGCAGGAGGAGCUGAGAGUUCAACAUCUACAAUUUAAGGCUGCUAGCAGAAUACUGUGGGGAAUUGCAGGCUUGUCUCCAGUCGAGCUGAGGUCUGAACCCCGAAGUCAUAAUUCACCUUCAUGACACGGUAGGCAUUCCCUUAUGCUC